rnacentral:rRNA from 1 species
GAUGAACGCUGACAGAAUGCUUAACACAUGCAAGUCAACUUGAACUUCGGUUUGGGUGGCGGACGGGUGAGUAACGCGUAAAGAACUUGCCUCACAGCUAGGGACAACAUUUGGAAACGAAUGCUAAUACCUGAUAUUAUGAUUUUAGGGCAUCCUAGAAUUAUGAAAGCUAUAUGCGCUGUGAGAGAGCUUUGCGUCCCAUUAGCUAGUUGGAGAGGUAACGGCUCACCAAGGCGAUGAUGGGUAGCCGGCCUGAGAGGGUGAACGGCCACAAGGGGACGGAGACACGCCCCUCCCCCCCCGGGGGGCCAGCAGGGGGGAAUUUGGGACAAGGGACCAAGAGUCUGACCCAGCAUUUCUUUGUGCACAAUAAAUUUUUUCGGAAGGAAAAGGGUUUUCAGUGGGAAAAAAAAAAAGGACGGUACCAAAAGAAAAAGUCACGGCUAAAUCCGUC